UCCAGACUCCUACGGGAGGCAGCAGUGAGGAAUAUUGGUCAAUGGGCGGAAGCCUGAACCAGCCAAGUCGCGUGAGGGAGGAAGGCCCUGCGGGUCGCAGACCUCUUUGGACGGGGAGCAAGGCCGCCGACGUGUCGGCGGAAGGAGAGUACCCGUAGAACAAGCAUCGGCUAACUCCGUGCCAGCAGCCGCGGUAAUACGGAGGAUGCGAGCGUUAUCCGGAUUUAUUGGGUUUAAAGGGAGCGCAGGCGGCCUGGCAAGCCUGAUGUGAAAUACCGGGGCCCAACCCCGGGGCUGCAUUGGGAACUGCCAGGCUGGAGUGCCGGAGAGGCAGGCGGAAUUCCUAGUGUAGCGGUGAAAUGCGUAGAUAUUAGGAGGAACACCAGUGGCGAAGGCGGCCUGCUGGACGGUGACUGACGCUGAGGCUCGAAAGCGUGGGGAGCAAACAGGAUUAGAUACCCUAGUA
rnacentral:rRNA from 1 species